UACGAGGGGUGCAAGCGUUGCUCGGAAUUACUGGGCGUAAAGGGCUCGUAGGUGGCCAACUAAGUCAGACGUGAAAUCCCUCGGCUUAACCGGGGAACUGCGUCUGAUACUGGAUGGCUUGAGUUUGGGAGAGGGACGCGGAAUUCCAGGUGUAGCGGUGAAAUGCGUAGAUAUCUGGAGGAACACCGGUGGCGAAGGCGGCGUCCUGGACCAACACUGACACUGAGGAGCGAAAGCCAGGGGAGCAAACGGG
rnacentral:rRNA from 1 species